rnacentral:lncRNA from 1 species
UACUUAGCUAUUUCUACAAAACUGGCUAGAUCACAUGUUCUAAAGCCACAAGAUCCUAAAGAAGACUUCAUGCAAAUAAACCCACAAAUCAUAAGUGUGUGUGUUGGGGGGGAGUUACAUAUAUAUUAUAAACACACACAUAUACCCUUUAUCAGACUGUGUUGAUACACGUAAAAUAAACUGCCUUUAUUGAAAAGCCUCAAACAACAUGAAUUAGAGACCAUCCUGGAAAAUCUGGGGCACGUGGCUUGAUCACCAUAAUUAUACUACAUGUCUUAUCUCAAUCCAGCAAGGAUUUCCUAAAAUAGCCUUAGAUUCUGACAGGACGUAAAGCUCUGUUGAGGAUGCCCCCACCUGGAAAUAAAGAGUCAAGAAUGGCUGGAAAGAGAUCUGGUUCACUUCACCAUCCAACUAAAAUAGGAUGCAAAACUAAACAAUGUCAUUAGAGAGAGACAGAACUUCAUUUCCCCCAAACAGUCUUUUUCACCUAGAAAGCAAGCAGUGCUGUCUCUUGCUAUUUUGCAUUUCUUUCCUCCAAACGAUCUUUAAUAGUUUGAGCCAUGGAGGCUCAAGGCAAGGGAGGAGGAAGAAGGCAAACUAAAAGUGAUGUUUAAAUCAAACCAAAUAACAAAAGUGAGCACAGGCAGAAACCUCCUUGGCCCCAGAAUUCCACUUGCUUUGAGUCCAGGGCUCACUCCAUUGUGACAAAAGGAAUGGAGAAAGCCAGGCUCCGUUCUGCCUGAUUAAUUCAACAUUGUUCAGUAAGGGUCUGUCCAAACGGUUAGAACAACAACUAGAUGAUAAUCACAAAGCCUUCAGUGAGCAGUUAAAAAUGAAUUUGUCUGAUAUGUUCACAACGUCUACUGAGCAACAUCAAAGGAGCUCAGGGCACAGUGGGUUUUGUUGAGAAACCGGUUUUAAGUAGGGUAAAAAAUGGACAUUUUCCUGCCUGCUAACUCUAAAAGCCUAACUCGUGUUCGCAGAGUCCAGGAGAAUAAAUCACUCAAGCAAAGAAAUAAUAAUAAUGAAGACAUAUGGUGCAGAUGGAUGGACGCAUGGAUGGAUGGACAAAGGACAGACGAUAAACAAAUGGACAACAGAUGGAUAAAGACAAAGGGAGCUUCAAAUAUGACUUAAGGAGAAGACUUAACAACGAGUGGUUUUUCUCUCCAUGAUAAGGGGUGCAUAUAAAAAACAUCCUUCUAGACACUGUGAGUCUCCAUUAUUAUCUAAAUAGAUGAUAGGUAGAUAAUUAAUGAUAGACAGAUAAAUAGAUAAUAGUCAAAACCCUUUAACUGUGUUUCAUGAAUUUAGUUUUCCUUUCUUAAUUUCCUUUACCCUUCCUAUCUGAAUCCACACGAUAGGAAGAAGUAUUUGGAAAUGGGAAUUUCUUGAAUUGUGCCUUUAUACCCUAAGCUUAAUUGUUAAACACAUGAAAAUAGCAAGACCAGGGUUCACUCCUUACACAGCUCUGUGGGGUUCACCAGUUCUUAUCAUACAGAAUUGUGCAGCACAGCCAGCUCACUCUCUCAGACAGGAGAGGUCUGAUCACAGAAACCUCUAGGAACAAAAUAGGGGAUGGAUCCACAGGCACACAUGUUAUCUAACAACCUGUGUGUCCUGUGAGGAUCUGCAAAAUCUUCUUUGUAUAGUGAGACCAGUAUUUCAUC